rnacentral:rRNA from 1 species
UACAAAGGAAGUUGACGGGGAGCACCACGAACGGGUGGAGCUUGACGGUUUAAUUGGAUUCAACGCCGGAAUCUUACCGGGACCGACAGCAAUAUGAAGGCCAGGCUGAAGACUUUGCCGGAUUAGCUGAGAGGUGGUGCAUGGCCGUCGUCAGUUCGUACUGUGAAGCAUCCUGUUAAGUCAGGCAACGAGCGAGACCCACGCCCACAGUUGCCAGCGUACUCUCCGGAGUGACGGGUACACUGUGGGGACCGCCGCUGCUAAAGCGGAGGAAGGAAUGGGCAACGGUAGGUCAGUAUGCCCCGAAUAUCCCGGGCUACACGCGAGCUACAAUGGUUGGUACAAUGGGUAUCUACCCCGAAAGGGGACGGAAAUCUCCUAAAACCAAUCUUAGUUCGGAUUGAGGGCUGCAACUCGCCCUCAUGAAGCUGGAAUCCGUAGUAAUCGCGUUUCAACAGAACGCGGUGAAUACGUCCCUGCUCCUU